GUCACGAGUUUGAUCCUCGGCUCAGAUUGAACGCUGGCGGAAUGCUUUACACAUGCAAGGUCGAACGGUAGAGGGGGCAACCCCUUGAGAGUGGCGAACGGGUGAGUAAUAUAUCGGAACGUGCCCAGUCGUGGGGGAUAACGUAGCGAAAGUUACGCUAAUACCGCAUACGAUCUACGGAUGAAAGCGGGGGGACUCGCAAGAGCCUCGCGCGAUUGGAGCGGCCGAUAUCAGAUUAGGUAGUUGGUGGGGUAAAGGCUCACCAAGCCAACGAUCUGUAGCUGGUCUGAGAGGACGACCAGCCACACUGGAACUGAGACACGGUCCAGACUCCUACGGGAGGCAGCAGUGGGGAAUUUUGGACAAUGGACGCAAGUCUGAUCCAGCCAUUCCGCGUGCAGGAUGAAGGCCCUCGGGUUGUAAACUGCUUUUGUACGGAACGAAAAGGUUUCUAUUAAUACUAGGAGCUCAUGACGGUACCGUAAGAAUAAGCACCGGCUAACUACGUG
rnacentral:rRNA from 1 species